CGACGGUUUUGGAUGUUUAGGCCCAUGAAUGAACUAAUGGUUCAUGCUGCAGCUGAUGAUGUGCGUUUUCUUCCAUAUAUCUAUCAGAAGAUGAUGGAGCAGCUAAAUGAUCGAUACUUAUGGCGUCUGGCGAUUCGAGGUACCCUUUAUUGCAGAUGUUUCUGUCUUAAUGACAACAACUACACAGAUUGGCAACCACUACCUCCCAUUCCAGGAAAAGUAAUUGCCGAAGGGAACCCUCCUGAAGAAGAGAUUUUAUCAGUGGUUAAUGUUCCUAAUGGGAAAAUGGGACGGAUUAUUGGUCGGAAAGGUGUUUCUAUCUUGGACAUCAAAUCUUCCAUAGAGUGAGUUUGCUCUUUUCUCUUUCUCUGUUUUCCUCUCCCUCUCUAUUUGUAACUUGUCUGCUUUUGUUAUUAAGUUGUUGUGUAAAUUGCAGUGCUGAAAUUCUUAUUGGCGAUGGAAAAGGACCAAAGGACAAGGUGUUCGUCAUAGGACCUGUGAGCCAAGUGAGGAAGGCGGAGGCGAUUAUAAGAGGCAGGAUCUGAUCUUGCAUGCAUGAAGGGAUGCCUGAUGUGAAACUAUGUUGCAUCGUUAUAAAAAGGGUAGACUAUUCUGGUUUUUGGAUGUUGCUAGUGUUUGUCCUUGUGAUACAUGAGAAGAUACUUAUAAGUCUAUUUGAUUGUGCGUAUGCCCAUAAAACUUCCAUGAACAGCAAAUAAUAAAAGAUUGCAAAUAUUUAUGUCUUGCUGGGUUCCUA